UGGGGAAUAUUGGACAAUGGGCGAAAGCCUGAUCCAGCAAUGCCGCGUGUGUGAAGAAGGCCUGCGGGUUGUAAAGCACUUUCAGUAGGGAAGAAAAACUCGGCGUUAAUACCGCCGGGUCUUGACGUUACCUACAGAAGAAGCACCGGCUAAUUCCGUG
rnacentral:rRNA from 1 species